rnacentral:rRNA from 1 species
AUUGAACGCUGGCGGCAUGCCUUACGCAUGCAAGUCGAACGGCAGCACGGGAGCAAUCCUGGUGGCGAGUGGCGAACGGGUGAGUAAUAUAUCGGAACGUGCCCGGUCGUGGGGGAUAACGUAGCGAAAGCUACGCUAAUACCGCAUACGAUCUACGGAUGAAAGCGGGGGAUCGCAAGACCUCGCGCGAUUGGAGCGGCCGAUAUCAGAUUAGGUAGUUGGUGAGGUAAAGGCUCACCAAGCCGACGAUCUGUAGCUGGUCUGAGAGGACGACCAGCCACACUGGGACUGAGACACGGCCCAGACUCCUACGGGAGGCAGCAGUGGGGAAUUUUUGGGACAAUGGGCGGCAAGCCUGAUCCAGCAAUAGCCGCCGUGC